CCUACGGGAGGCAGCAGUGGGGAAUUUUGGACAAUGGGCGCAAGCCUGAUCCAGCCAUGCCGCGUGUGGGAAGAAGGCCUUCGGGUUGUAAACCACUUUUGUCAGGGAAGAAACGGUCUGGUCUAAUAAACCGGACUAAUGACGGUACCUGAAGAAUAAGCACCGGCUAACUACGUGCCAGCAGCCGCGGUAAUACGUAGGGUGCGAGCGUUAAUCGGAAUUACUGGGCGUAAAGCGUGCGCAGGCGGCUUUGCAAGACAGGUGUGAAAUCCCCGGGCUCAACCUGGGAACUGCAUUUGUGACUGCAAGGCUAGAGUACGGCAGAGGGGGAUGGAAUUCCGCGUGUAGCAGUGAAAUGCGUAGAUAUGCGGAGGAACACCGAUGGCGAAGGCAAUCCCCUGGGCCUGUACUGACGCUCAUGCACGAAAGCGUGGGGAGCAAACAGGAUUAGAUACCCUGGUAGUCCACGCCCUAAACGAUGUCAACUGGUUGUUGGGAGGGUUUCUUCUCAGUAACGAAGCUAACGCGUGAAGUUGACCGCCUGGGAGUACGGCGCAAGGUUGAAACUUAAUGAAUUGACGG
rnacentral:rRNA from 1 species